UUAUACAUGAGCAAAAUCUCAACUUUAUUAGAAGAGACGCAUUUAUUAGAUAAAAAGCCAGUUCAUGCUUUUACAGUAUGAAAAUUGGUGAUUUAUAAUAACUUAGCAAAUCGCAAAGUGAAAACAGGCGAUAAAUCAUUCAAGUUUCUGACCUAUCAGCUUUCGACGGUAUGGUAUUGGCUUACCGUGGCAGUGACGGUUAACGGGGGAUUAGGGUUCGAUUCCGGAGAGGGAGCCUGAGAAACGGCUACCACAUCUAAGGAAGGCAGCAGGCGCGCAAAUUACCCAAUUCUAACAGUUUGAGAGAGGUAGUAACAAGAAAUAACAAUACAAGGCAGUUAAAAUGCUUUGUAAUUGGAAUGAUAGAAAUUUAAACCCUUUUUAAAGUAUCAAUUGGAGGGCAAGUCUGGUGCCAGCAGCCGCGGUAAUUCCAGCUCCAAUAGCGUAUAUUAAAAUUGUUGCAGUUAAAAAGCUCGUAGUUGAAGUUCUGCUGAAAGUAACCGGUCUGCUUUUAAUAAAAGUGGUAUCUUGGUAUGUAUUUAGCAAUGAUGUCCUUUGAAGUGUUUUUUACUUUAUUGUAAUAAAGCAUAUUCAGGACUUUUACUUUGAGAAAAUUAGAGUGUUUCUAGCAGGCUAACGCUUUGAAUACUGCAGCAUGGAAUAAUAAG
rnacentral:rRNA from 1 species